rnacentral:rRNA from 1 species
ACUCCAAUUGCGAAGGCAGCUUANUAGGCUACAACUGACGCUGAAGCACGAAAGCGUGGGGAUCAAACAGGAUUAGAUACCCUGGUAGUCCACGCAGUAAACGAUGAUAACUAGCUGUUUGCGAUACACAGUAAGCGGCACAGCGAAAGCGUUAAGUUAUCCACCUGGGGAGUACGCCGGCAACGGUGAAACUCAAAGGAAUUGACGGGGGCCCGCACAAGCGGAGGAACAUGUGGUUUAAUUCGAUGAUACGCGAGGAACCUUACCUGGGCUUAAAUUGCAGUGGAAUAACGUGGAAACAUGUUAGCCUUCGGGCCGCUGUGAAGGUGCUGCAUGGUUGUCGUCAGCUCGUGCCGUGAGGUGUCGGCUUAAGUGCCAUAACGAGCGCAACCCUCAUCGAUAGUUACUAACAGGUUAAGCUGAGGACUCUAUCGAGACUGCCGACGUAAGUCGUGAGGAAGGUGGGGAUGACGUCAAAUCAGCACGGCCCCUACGUCCAGGGCUACACACGUGUUACAAUGGGGGGUACAAAGGGCAGCUACCUGGCGACAGGAUGCUAAUCUCAAAAACCUCUCUCAGUUCGGAUUGGAGUCUGCAACCCGACUCCAUGAAGCUGGAUUCGCUAGUAAUCGCGCAUCAGCCACGGCGCGGUGAAUACGUUCCCGGGCCUUGUACACACCGCCCGUCAAGCCAUGGGAGCCGGGGGGACCUGAAGUAUGCAACCGUAAGGAGCGUCCUAGGGUAAAACUGGUGACUGGGGCU